CGGUCUUCUCGAAGAUCUCCUCAGCCUUCACACCCUCGUGGAUCAAGAGAGUGGCAUCACCACCAUCGUCAACAAUAAGAUCAGGGCCACCGGAUGGACCCCAGUCGAGAGCGCGCUCGGUGCACCACCAGUACUCCUGCAGAGUCUCACCCUUCCAUGCGAAGACAGCGGCGGAAUCCCUAGCGAUUGCGGCAGCGGCGUGGUCCUGAGUGGAGAAGAUGUUGCAGGAGCACCAACGGACCUCGGCACCGAGAGCGGUGAGGGUCUCGAUGAGGACGGCGGUUUGGAUUGUCAUGUGGAGAGAUCCGGUGAUCUUGGCGCCCUUGAAGGGUUGUGAAGGUCCGAACUCAGCACGACAGGCCAUGAGACCGGGCAUUUCGACCUCGGCAAGCUCG
rnacentral:lncRNA from 1 species